CAUCCGCCACGCUGGGACCGGGACACGGGCACGGCUCCUACGGGAGGCAGCAGUGGGGAAUUUUGGACAAUGGGCGCAAGCCUGAUCCAGCAAUGCCGCGUGUAUGAAGAAGGCCUUAGGGUUGUAAAGUACUUUUGUUAGGGAAGAAAAGCUUUUGGCUAAUAUCCAAGAGUGAUGACGGUACCUGAAGAAUAAGCACC
rnacentral:rRNA from 1 species